UUGGGAUGCAUUUCCUUCUUGAUGGUGCCAGUGAGAAGAAAAACAUAAGUUUCGUCCAUGAUGAAUCCGUAGUAUACACCCCCCUCAGGGAGUGGCAGAAGAGUGGACGGAUUGAGAACUUGACAUCCUUGGAGGGUAAUGUUGUCAGGCAACAAAAGGUGACAUUGAAGGCGAAGAUGCCUAGCAGGAGUAACAUGCUUAAGUUGGACCUGGUUGACUAUGGCAGAAAUGUCAUGGGGGGCCAAGACAACCAGGGGGUGGCCAAGGACAAGAUCUCCAGUUCUUUCAAUGAGCUCUCUGGCAGCAAAGACGGCCCGAAGGCAAGAGGGACGUCCUCUGGCCACAAUAUCCAGUUGGCAGGAGAAAAAUCCAAUAGGCCUUUGGCGGCCUCCAGGACCAUGGGCCUGAGUGAGUACUCCUGUUGCAUAGCCUUGUCUUUCGGAAACAAACAGUUUGAAGGGUUUGGUAUAGUCUGGUAGGCCAAGAGCAGGAGCAGAAGCAAUAGCACUUUUGAGAGAAC
rnacentral:lncRNA from 1 species